ACUCUAUGGUGAGGACAAGAUCUAGUGUAACUCUUCAAUCUUUCCCAUGCUUCAUAUAGAGCUUCAUUAGGACCUUACUUGAAGCUUGUGAUAUCAUUCCUAAUCCG
rfam:Arabis alpina cultivar Pajares Aa.chr7_contig_2721, whole genome shotgun sequence.